rnacentral:rRNA from 1 species
UUGACGGGGACCCGCACAAGCGGUGGAUGAUGUGGAUUAAUUCGAUGCAACGCGAAGAACCUUACCUACCCUUGACAUGUCCGGAACUUGCCAGAGAUGGCUUGGUGCCCGAAAGGGAAUCGGAACACAGGUGCUGCAUGGCUGUCGUCAGCUCGUGUCGUGAGAUGUUGGGUUAAGUCCCGCAACGAGCGCAACCCUUAUCAUUAGUUGCUACGCAAGGGCACUCUAAUGAGACUGCCGGUGACAAACCGGAGGAAGGUGGGGAUGACGUCAAGUCCUCAUGGCCCUUAUGGGUAGGGCUCCACACGUCAUACAAUGGUCGGUACAGAGGGUUGCCAAGCCGCGAGGCGGAGCCAAUCCCACAAAGCCGAUCGUAGUCCGGAUUGUUCUCUGCAACUCGAGAGCAUGAAGUCGGAAUCGCUAGUAAUCGCAGGUCAGCAUACUGCGGUGAAUACGUUCCCGGGUCUU